UGGAGGCAGCAGUGGGGAAUUUUGCGCAAUGGACGAGAGUCUGACGCAGCAACGCCGCGUGGGUGAUGAAGGUCUUCGGACUGUAAAACCCUGUCGUCAGGGACGAAGGUGGCAGUGUUAAUAGCGCUGUUACUUGACGGUACCUGGAGAGGAAGCCCCGGCUAACUCUGUGCCAGCAGCCGCGGUAAUACAGAGGGGGCAAGCGUUAUUCGGAAUUAUUGGGCGUAAAGGGCGCGUAGGCGGUUUUUUAAGUCAGAUGUGCAAUCCCCGAGCUCAACUUGGGAACUGCAUCUGAGACUGGAAGGCUAGAGUACUGGAGAGGGUGGUGGAAUUCCUCGUGUAGCGGUGGAAUGCGUAGAGAUGAGGAGGAGCACCAGUGGCGAAGGCGGCCACCUGGACAGUAACUGACGCUGAGGCGCGAAAGUGUGGGUAGCAAACAGGAUUAGAAACCCCAGUAGUCCG
rnacentral:rRNA from 1 species